UUUUCCAGGUGGUGAAAAAUAUUUUGUAUGGAAUUUCCCUCUUCCUAGCUCCAAAUAGGAUAAUAUGACAACUCCAAGGAAUUUAAAAGUAUAAAACCACAUCUGCCAAUAACAUCAGGAUGAACCAUUUAGGAUUUGGUUUUUUACAAGGCAGCAGCGCUAAAUGCCAUUGAUUCCCAGAAUGCACCGGAAAGGGAUUCGACUCCGGAAGAGGUCACGUGGUUGAGCUGGCCCUGCUGUCGCGGCUUUCUGACACCAUUUUUUAAAUGCUAUGUCACCUUUGACAGAACAUAUCCUAAUAACCCAAAGAGGUGUAAAACAGGAGACUUUGAGGGAGAGAGACUCUUGGGUAAAACCCCCAGUGGUAUUCAUCAGAGAGCAGCUCGGGUGAAGAGGCCCGGGUUUUGUUUCUCCUUCCCUAUCGUUUACCACGUAGGACAACAUUCUUCUCAUAAUGGCGCUCAAGUUUCUGGGUUGUUAAAAAGAAGCUUAUAAGAGCAAUUGAAAGUAAU